rnacentral:rRNA from 1 species
AUUAGAUACCCGGGUAGUCCUAGCCGUAAACGAUACUCGCUAGGUGUCGGCCACGGUGCGACCGUUGUCGGUGCCGUAGGGAAGCCAUGAAGCGAGCCACCUGGGAAGUACGGCCGCGAGGCUGAAACUUAAAGGAAUUGGCGGGGGAGCACCACAACGGGUGGAGCUUGCGGUUUAAUUGGAUUCAACGCCGGAAAUCUUACCGGGACCGACAGCAAUAUGAAGGCCAGGCUGAAGACUUUGCCGGAUUAGCUGAGAGGAGGUGCAUGGC